GAUGAACGCUGGCGGAGUGUUUAAUACAUGCAAGUCGAGCGAACAGACGAGGAGCUUGCUCCUCUGACGUUAGCGGCUGACGGGUGAGUAACACGUGGUUAACCUACCUAUAAGCCUGGGAUAACUUCGGGAAACCGGAGCUAAUACCGGAUAAUAUAUUGAACCGCAUGGUUCAAUAGUGAAAGACGGUUUUGCUGUCACUUAUAGAUGGAUCCGCGCCGCAUUAGCUAGUUGGUAAGGUAACGGCUUACCAAGGCGACGAUGCGUAGCCGACCUGAGAGGGUGAUCGGCCACACUGGAACUGAGACACGGUCCAGACUCCUACGGGAGGCAGCAGUAGGGAAUCUUCCGCAAUGGGCGAAAGCCUGACGGAGCAACGCCGCGUGAGUGAUGAAGGUCUUCGGAUCGUAAAACUCUGUUAUUAGGGAAGAACAAAUGUGUAAGUAACUAUGCACGUCUUGACGGUACCUAAUCAGAAAGCCACGGCUAGCUACGUG
rnacentral:rRNA from 1 species